rnacentral:lncRNA from 1 species
GGCCUUGGGGCACAAAGAUGGAGAUUGUAGGAUCUGGUGAAGUACUCCCAAGGCUCAAGAGACUAAGAAAAAGGUCAAGGUCCAAAGCCCAUGAGGCCUUCAUGGGAGUUCUAGGGCUAGUUUGGGCCCUAGGGUGAAAGACUGUCAGCCUUCACAGUUUCAAGGUCCAGGAGAUUUGAGCCUUGAGGGACUAACUUGUAUUGGGCUAGGCUUGAGUUCAAGAGAGGUG